CAACCACUGAAAGGAGUGACUACCCACCCAUCAAGAGCUGGCAAUUCGCUGCUAUUAACCGUGACCGUGAUUCCCAAUCUGCCUGGCAGUUCUUAAGAACAGGACUGCAAUGUCUCAUAUGCAGUAAAAGCAGUUAUAUGCACCCUGGCCUCCAACACUAUACCUGAUGAAUGUACAUUUCUUUGCAACUUUAAUGGAUUUAGCACAAUUAUUCACAGGAAGAAGACAUCAUCUGCAUAAGACUCUUUCAUUCAGAAUCCUUUACCUAUGGUCUCCAAGGGAGGAGGAUGCUUGAUCAUGAAAGGGAAGAAGAAAGUAGAUAGGACAGCACCAAGAGGAUAUGAGUCUGAGGAACCUAUGCAUCAUCCUUCCUCUGACUACAUGAAUAAUAGUCAAAGAACGUGAUGAUGAAGCUCUCCUUUUAGAAGACGGAUUAAUCAGAGGUUCAGAAAGA